rnacentral:rRNA from 1 species
CCUACGGGAGGCAGCAGUGGGGAAUCUUGCACAAUGGAGGAAACUCUGAUGCAGCGAUGCCGCGUGAGUGAAGAAGGCCUUUGGGUUGUAAAGCUCUUUUGUAGGGGAAGAUAAUGACUGUACCCUAAGAAUAAGGUCCGGCUAACUUCGUGCCAGCAGCCGCGGUAAUACGAAGGGACCUAGCGUAGUUCGGAAUUACUGGGCGUAAAGCGCGCGUAGGCCGUUGAGUUAGUUAAUUGUGAAAUCCCAAAGCUUAACUUUGGAACUGCAAUUAAAACUGCUCGACUAGAGUUUGAUAGAGGAAAGCGGAAUACAUAGUGUAGAGGUGAAAUUCGUAGAUAUUAUGUAGAACACCAGUUGCGAAGGCGGCUUUCUGGAUCAACACUGACGCUGAGGCGCGAAAGUAUGGGUAGCAAAGAGGAUUAGAUACCCUCGUAGUCCAUACCAUAAACGAUGAUUGCUAGAUGUUGGAAAUUUAUUUUCAGUAUCGCAGCUAACGCAUUAAGCAAUCCGCCUGGGGAGUACGACCGCAAGGUUAAAACUCAAAGGAUUAGACGNNGAGNGNGACCGAGCACAGAGGUAG